rnacentral:rRNA from 1 species
GUAGGUAACGUACCUUGGAGUCCGGGAUAACCAGUCGAAAGACUGGCUAAUACCGGAUACGACUGUGGGGGCUCCGGCUUCCGCAGUGAAAGAUGGCCUCUAUUUAUGCGCUAUCACUCCUUGAUCGGCCUGCGCACCAUUAGCUAGUUGGUGAGGUAAUGGCUCACCAAGGCUGAGAUGGUUAGCUGGUCUGAGAGGAUGGCCAGCCACACUGGGACUGAGACACGGCCCAGACUCCUACGGGAGGCAGCAGUGGGGAAUAUUGCGCAAUGGGGGAAACCCUGACGCAGCGACGCCGCGUGGGUGAUGAAGGCCUUCGGGUCGUAAAGCCCUGUCGGGAGGGAAGAAAGAGCUCGGGCCUAAUAUGCCCGGGAAUUGACGGUACCUCCUAAGGAAGCACCGGCUAACUCCGUGCCAGCAGCCGCGGUAAUACGGAGGGUGCUAGCGUUGUUCGGAAUCACUGGGCGUAAAGGGCGUGUAGGCGGUCUGUUAAGUCUGAUGUGAAAUCCCCUCGCUCAACGAGGGAACUGCGUCGGAUACUGGCAGACUCGAGUACCGGAGAGGAAGGUGGAAUU